UCAGAUGGUGUUUCUGCUUUGGUGCUAAGCCU
rnacentral:piRNA from 1 species